GAUGAAGAACGUAGCUAAAUGCGAUAAGUAGUGUGAAUUGCAGAAUUCAGUGAAUCAUCGAAUCUUUGAACGCACAUUGCGCCCCUCGGUAUUCCGUGGGGCAUGCCUGUUCGAGCGUCAUUUAACCCCUCAAGCCUAGCUUGGUAUUGGGUGCUUGUCCCGCCUCUCGCGCGGCGACUCACCUCAAAGUCAUUGGCAGCCCGCAUCUCGCCGGCCGUGAGCGCAGCACAGACGCGCUCUUGGCAACGACGGAUCGGCUCUCCAAAAGCUUAUUUCAACCACUGACCUCGGAUCAGGUAGGGAUACCCGCUGAACUUAAGCAUAUCAAUAAGCGGAGGA
rnacentral:misc_RNA from 1 species